CCUACGGGUGGCUGCAGUGAGGAAUAUUGGUCAAUGGGCGCGAGCCUGAACCAGCCAAGUCGCGUGAGGGAGGACGGCCCUACGGGUUGUAAACCUCUUUUGCCGGGGAGCAACGGGCGUCACGUGUGGCGUCACUGAGAGUACCCGGAGAAAAAGCAUCGGCUAACUCCGUGCCAGCAGCCGCGGUAAUACGGAGGAUGCGAGCGUUUUCCGGAUUUAUUGGGUUUAAGGGGUGCGUAGGCGGAACGUUAAGUCAGUGGUAAAAUUGAGGGGCUCAACCCCUUCCCGCCAUUGAAACUGGCGAGCUUGAGUGGAAGAGAAGUAGGCGGAAGGCGUGGUGUAGCGGUGAAAUGCAUAGAUAUCACGCAGAACCCCGAUUGCGAAGGCAGCAUGCCGGCUUCCGACUGACGCUGAAGCACGAAAGCGUGGGGAGCGAACAGGAUUAGAUACCCGAGUAGUC
rnacentral:rRNA from 1 species